rnacentral:tRNA from 1 species
GCGCUCGUGGCGAAAUCGGUAAACGCGUCGGGUUGUUAACCCGAGAUCCUCCAGGAUUUGCGAGUUCGAAUCUCGUCGGGCGCA